rnacentral:rRNA from 1 species
CAGUAGCCGCGGUAAUACGAAGGGGGCUAGCGUUGCUCGGAAUUACUGGGCGUAAAGGGCGCGUAGGCGGACAGUUCAGUCGGGGGUGAAAGCCCGGGGCUCAACCUCGGAAUUGCCUUCGAUACUGGCUGUCUUGAGUAUGAGAGAGGUGUGUGGAACUCCGAGUGUAGAGGUGAAAUUCGUAGAUAUUCGGAAGAACACCAGUGGCGAAGGCGACACACUGGCUCAUUACUGACGCUGAGGCGCGAAAGCGUGGGGAGCAAACAGGAUUAGAUACCCCCGUAGUCCCUGUCUCUUAUAC